AUGCCCGUCUUCAAGAUGGCGGCGAGGCCUUCAAACCUUAUUUCCGGUGUUUUGGGGGGGGGGGCAAAUCUCGCGAGAGACCGGAAGGGGCGUGGCCUCGGUGCCACGUCGGGGUUGGAGCCGAGGAGCGCUUCAAUGGCGACGGUCCUCCAGCCCCGGGAACCAGCGGCCUCCAACAUGGCCGCCAUCAUGGCCGCCACUCUGGCUCUCUGCCUCCUCCCUUCCGCCUCUCACGGGGACCGCCAUCACCAGGAGGACUUCCGCCAUCACCGGGAGGACUUCCGCCAUCACCGGGAGGACUUCGGCCAUCACCGGGAGGACCUCGGCCAUCACCGGGAGGACCUCGGCCAUGGUCAGCACCAGCUCCAUGUGGACAGCGGCCACGGCCACACCUUGACGGCCAUGUUUAGUCGUGGGCACCAACACGAAGACCCCCAGCAUGGACACUCACAUGGGGACCCCCACCAUCAACAUGGGGACCCCCAUAGGGACCCCCACCACAGCCAUGGGGACCCCCACCAUGGCCAUUCACAUGGGGACCCCCAUAGGGACCCCCACUAUGGCCAUGGGGACCCCCAUACGGACCCCUACUAUGGCCAUGGGGACCCCCAUCAUGGCCAUCAACAUGGGGACCCCCAUAGGGACCCCCACCAUCAACAUGGGGACCCCCAUAGGGACCCCCAUCAUCAACAUGGGGACCCCCACCAUCAACAUGGGGACCCCCAUCAUGGCCAUCAACAUGGGGACCCCCACCAUGGCCACAGCCACCACCAUGGGGACCCCCAAGUUCCCCCCCCAUCAGCUCCCAGUCGCCCGGACACUCUGACCCUCUGGAUUCAGGUGAGC
rnacentral:lncRNA from 1 species